CAGAUGCAGAGACACAUAGCCAAACAGUAGAUGGAGCUCAGGCAGGCUUAUGGAAGAGUUGAGGAGAGGAUUGAGGGACCCAAAGAAGACAGGGCCUCUACAGGAAGACCAACAGAGUCAAGUAACCUGGACCCUUGGAGGACACCAGAGAGUGAAAAACCAUAGAACGAGUGUGGGCUGGACUUAGGGCCCCUACACAAAUGUAAAAGAUGUCCAGUUUGGGCUUCACACAGGUCCUCUAACAACUGGUUUGGGGGCUGUUCCCCAGACCUGUUGCUGGCCUGUCUAUGAACCUAUUUCUCUAACUGGGCCACCUUGUCUGGCUUCAAAUGUCUCGUCUCAACCCCUGUCUCGCCUCAGCGCAUGUGUCUGUCUGAGCUGACAUCAUUCUGCCAAUCAGCCUGAGUCCGAGGAAGCAGCAAGAAAUGGCAGCACACCACCAGAGGAAUUUUGGUGCAUUUCUCUUUACAGACUCCGGACAAAUGCCGCUCUACUAUGAGCAUCACUCAGGAAGACUACUGCCUCUAAGAGAAAUGUCACGAGGGUUUGCAGUAAAAGGAAACUUUGGGGAGAGAAACUAUGUGGACUGAAGGAGCUGGAGGGAUUUUCAACACCAUAAAAGAACAACAAUAUCAACCAACCAGAUCCCACAGACAUCCCAGAAACUAAACCACCAUCCCAAGAGAACACAGGGAUGGACCUGUGGCUCUAGCCACAUAUGUAGCAGAGGAUGGCCUUGUCGGGGAUCAAUGGGAGAAGAGGCCCUUGGUCCUGUCAAGGCUUGAUGCCCCAGUAUGGGGAAUGUCAG